rnacentral:lncRNA from 1 species
CCGAUUUAUUUUUUACACUUUUAAUUUUUAUUUUCUGACUUAAAUUAUUUUUUUCAAAAUUUUAUUUUUUCUUUAUAAAAUUAAAAAUUUUAAAUCAAAAUCCUACCUUCUCUGUGGAUUCAAUCUAACUCACUAUUUUUUAUAUAUUUUUAAUUUUUAUUGAAGUCAAAAUUAAUUUGAUAAGCACGGUGUUCUAACG